UUAAAUAAAAAUUAUAUAAUUAGCCUCUCAGCAGCUGAAUUGUCAAGUGUCUGAUCAUUCCAAAAGUUUUGAAACAGGCUGAUAAUGAACCACAAGAUUUCACUUUUAUCUCACUUCAACACGUGUUGGUUCCUCUGUUCAGCUUUCCAUUUUUAGCUUCUAGCUAUUUGGCAUCUCCACAUACAGUUGCAGCUCUUAUGUGGCUGUUAAACCUCUUGUGUUGCCUACUGCGCUAAUAAAGAUGCUUUGCUACAAAAUUUGGUUCAUUAUUGUUCCAUAGCUAAGAUAACAAAAGCUUUUUUUUUUAUGUGCGGUUUAAAAGGAUCCAAUUUUCCAACUGUGAAGGUAAUUAGCUUUGGCUAAUUAGCAACUGCAGGGAUAGUAUUUUUUUUUCUCCCUUUUUAAAGUGUGAAUGUUCUUGGAAGUGUGUCCAGGGAUGUCCAAAGUAUCUGUAUCCAAUUUAGCUGAACAUGUUCAGUGAGUGUCUUGUGAAUGAAGUGUUGGAUAAUUAAAGUCAGUGGUGCAUUUCCUUAAAUGAGCUCCAUUUCAAGCCUGAAACAUUCACAGAGCUGUCUCUGUGAAGGUUCUGGUUGGAUCUAAAGAUUAAUUCCAUCUUUCAUCUCCCGUAGACUCACACCAUUUUCUCCCUGCUGGGCCUCGACCACGCCUACGUCACCAGCAUCGGCCGUCUCAUCGGGGUGGUUUCCCUCAAGGAGCUACGCAAAGCCAUCGAGGGCACUGUGACAGUAAGAGGCGCAAAGCUGCGUCCGCCUCUGGCCAGCUUCCGGAACAGUGUGACCAGCAGGAACAAGACGGAGGCGACAGAGCUCCAUAAGCUGUGGGACCGUCACAAGAGCGUGUCACUGCCAGGAGAACAGCCCACGUCGGAGUCCGACGAGAAGUCCCAGUGAGGGAAAGCUGAGGACAAAUAGGAAGAAGAGGUGCAGGUGGGGGAAGAGGAGGUGGAGGAUGCAUUGAGAUCUUUAAUCUCCAAAGCCACAAACAUGCAAAACUCCUCAGGGCUACAGAUCCACCGUGUUCCAAAUUAUACGCAAAUUGAAUUAAAGAUUAAAUUUCUAAAAUCCUGCAAAGAAAUUCAAGCAUAAUCUAUCCACAAACUCACAAGUUCAAUGGAUGCAAGAAUUGUGCAUGUGAUAUCAAAGAAAGGCUCCUAUGUUAACAUGUUACUCUGUCUGUUAAGAUGUUUUACAUUGAAAUAGCUUUUGAUUUUAGUACAUGUGACCACUUAAUGCUGCACAUUCAAAGGACAGUUUACAGUUCUUCAUAAUACAUCAAAUGUUUAGAAAAUCUGCUGUGCAUAAUAAUUUGGAACAGUGCAUUUUGAGUUUUUUUUUAUUUUUGAAAAAUAUACUGUUCUCAUUGGGAGCUUUGUUCAGUAAAAUUUGAUUUAUACUGUAAUAGUUCAUGACUUGAAAAUUAUACUGACCAUCAUUUGCAUUGACAAUUUAGGAAAAUCUGAGAAAAUAUCACUUGCUUAAUAAUUUGGAAUAAUUUGGUGUAUUGUUAGACUACUGUUAGGCAUGAAUGUGUAACAGCACUGUGUUUUCUGAUUCCUGACAUGACAUAACACUAAAUACCUUCCAUGUCUUCC